CGUAACAAGGUCUCCGUAGGUGAACCUGCGGAGGGAUCAUUACACAACAAAAUAUGAAGGCCCUGGCUUCGCGGCCGGCUGAAAUAUUUUUUCACCCAUGUCUUUUGCGCACUUGUUGUUUCCUGGGCGGGUUUGCCCGCCACCAGGACCAAACCAUAAACCUUUUUUUUUUAUGCAGUUACCAUCAGCGUCAGUAAAAACAAUGUAAUUAAUUACAACUUUCAACAACGGAUCUCUUGGUUCUGGCAUCGAUGAAGAACGCAGCGAAAUGCGAUACGUAGUGUGAAUUGCANAAUUCAGUGAAUCAUCGAAUCUUUGAACGCACAUUGCGCCCUUUGGUAUUCCAAAGGGCAUGCCUGUUCGAGCGUCAUUUGUACCUUCAAGCUUUGCUUGGUGUUGGGCGUUUUUGUCUCCCUCUUUCUGGGANACUCGCCUUAAAACGAUUGGCAGCCGGCCUACUGGUUUCGGAGCGCAGCACAUAAUUUGCGCUUUGUAUCAGGAGAAAAGGACNGUAAUCCAUCAAGACUCUAGAUUUUUAACUUUUGACCUCGGAUCAGGUAGGGAUACCCGCUGAACUUAAGCAUAUCA
rnacentral:rRNA from 1 species